AUACGGAGGGUGCAAGCGUUGUUCGGAAUCACUGGGCGUAAAGGGCGCGCAGGCGGUUUGGUAAGUCAGAUGUGAAAGCCCACGGCUCAACCGUGGAAGUGCAUUUGAAACUGUCAGACUUGAGUACUAGAGGGGAAAGUGGAAUUCCCGGUGUAGAGGUGAAAUUCGUAGGUAUCGGGAGGAAUACCGGUGGCGAAGGCGACUUUCUGGCUAGAUACUGACGCUGAGGCGCGAAAGCGUGGGGAGCAAACAGGAUUAGAAACCCCGGUAGUCC
rnacentral:rRNA from 1 species